GAUGAACGCUGACAGAAUGCUUAACACAUGCAAGUCGAUGGGGAAGUGGUGCUUGCACCAUGGCAACCAUGGCGGACGGGUGAGUAACGCGUAAGGGACUUACCUGCAGGACUGGGAUAACAGGGGGAAACUCCUGACAAGACCGGAUAAUGUCAUGGAGCUGCAUGGUUUUAUGAUGAAAGGAGACGCCUGCGGAGAGACUUGCGUCCUAUUAGCCAGUUGGUGAGGUAAUGGCUCACCAAGGCGAAGAUAGGUAGCCGGCCUGAGAGGGUGGACGGCCACAAGGCGACUGAGAUACGGCCCUUACUCCUACGGGAGGCAGCAGGGGGGAAUAUUGGACAAUGGGGGCAACCCUGAUCCAGCAAUUCUGUGUGCACGAAGAAGGUUUUCGGAUUGUAAAGUGCUUUCAGCAGGGAAGAAGUAAGUGACGGUACCUGCAGAAGAAGCGACGGCUAAAUACGUG
rnacentral:rRNA from 1 species